AGGGGCGUCGGUCAGUGGUAGGCCUGGAGUCUCCAAAACUUCAAACAGAGGUCCGAUUCCUCUCGCCCCUGCCA
rnacentral:tRNA from 1 species